rnacentral:rRNA from 1 species
UUCGAUUGAGUUGAUCCUGGCUCAGGAUGAACGCUGGCGGCGUGCCUAAUACAUGCAAGUCGAGCGAACAGAUAAGGAGCUUGCUCCUUUGACGUUAGCGGCGGACGGGUGAGUAACACGUGGGUAACCUACCUAUAAGACUGGAAUAACUCCGGGAAACCGGGGCUAAUGCCGGAUAACAUUUAGAACCGCAUGGUUCUAAAGUGAAAGAUGGUUUUGCUAUCACUUAUAGAUGGACCCGCGCCGUAUUAGCUAGUUGGUAAGGUAAUGGCUUACCAAGGCAACGAUACGUAGCCGACCUGAGAGGGUGAUCGGCCACACUGGAACUGAGACACGGUCCAGACUCCUACGGGAGGCAGCAGUAGGGAAUCUUCCGCAAUGGGCGAAAGCCUGACGGAGCAACGCCGCGUGAGUGAUGAAGGGUUUCGGCUCGUAAAACUCUGUUAUUAGGGAAGAACAAACGUGUAAGUAACUGUGCACGUCUUGACGGUACCUAAUCAGAAAGCCACGGCUAACUACGUGCCAGCAGCCGCGGUAAUACGUAGGUGGCAAGCGUUAUCCGGAAUUAUUGGGCGUAAAGCGCGCGUAGGCGGUUCUUAAGUCUGAUGUGAAAGCCCACGGCUCAACCGUGGGAGGGUCAUUGGAAACUGG